GAUGAACGCUGGCGGCGUGCUUAACACAUGCAAGUCGAACGAUGAAGCCCAGCUUGCUGGGUGGAUUAGUGGCGAACGGGUGAGUAACACGUGAGUAACCUGCCCUUAACUCUGGGAUAAGCCUGGGAAACUGGGUCUAAUACCGGAUAGGAGCGUCCACCGCAUGGUGGGUGUUGGAAAGAUUUAUCGGUUUUGGAUGGACUCGCGGCCUAUCAGCUUGUUGGUGAGGUAAUGGCUCACCAAGGCGACGACGGGUAGCCGGCCUGGGAGGGUGACCGGCCACACUAGGCCUGCGACACGGACCAGACUCCUACGGGGGGCAGCGGUGGGGAAUAUUGCACAAUGGGCGCGAGCCUGAUGCGGAGGCGCCGCGUGAGGGAUGACGGCCUUCGGGUUGUAAACCUCUUUCAGUAGGGAAGAAGCGAAAGUGACGGUACCUGAAGAAGAAGCACCGGCUAACUACGUG
rnacentral:rRNA from 1 species